rnacentral:rRNA from 1 species
UACGGAGGGUGCGAGCGUUAAUCGGAAUUACUGGGCGUAAAGCGCGCGUAGGCGGUUCAAUCAGUCUGAUGUGAAAGCCCUGGGCUUAACCUGGGAACGGCAUUGGAUACUGUUGGACUGGAGUGUGGGAGAGGGUAGUGGAAUUUCCGGUGUAGCAGUGAAAUGCGUAGAGAUCGGAAGGAACACCAGUGGCGAAGGCGGCUACCUGGACCAACACUGACGCUGAGGUGCGAAAGCGUGGGGAG